UCCAGCACCGCUCCCGCCAAGUCCCGGGCCCGUGACGACUAGGGAGACGAGGAGGGGAAUGGUAGCACCCGGCGUCCCCACAUCAACCCACUCACUUAAGGGCAUCCUGCCUGCCUGCCCAGGAGCGAUGUUCGCCGGGUCAAGAGCCGGAGGGGCGUCCCCGCGGUCACACCGCGUCUUUCCAUCAAGGACUGGAGCUCUGUUCCCUGUCACCUGACAUUCCCUAGGUCGUCCUGCCCCGGAGCGCUGUCCCCUCGGUCACCUGCCGUCCCCUCGGGCACCGGUGGGAGCGGCGUUCCCAGUUACACCGUGCCUUCCAGUUCGCCGGACUGGAGCUCUGUUCCCUGUCACCUGCCAUUCCCUAGGUCGCCUUGACCGUGAGCGCUGUACCCUCCCUCGGUCACGGGUGGAAGCUGCGUCCCGAGGGCGCGCCGUCCCCUCGGUCACUUGCAGUACCCUCGGGAGCGGCGGCGUCCCCUCGGGCACCGGUAGGAGCGCGCUCCGCCCGUGCGCGGCUCUCCCACCUUGGUACGGUGCCGCAGGGCUAUCCCGCGGCGGGCGGCUCCCCCAACGGCCUACUCGGACGCUCACCUCAUGAGAUAGUCUCGGAAGUCCUUGCUCCGGACAUACUCUGCCGCUUUGCGUACCAGCGCUCCAGCCAUGAUCGUGCCGUAGGCAGAGAAGCCACUACCUAGACAGAUGACACUGCCGACCCAGCGGAGGCCCUCCGCGCUCUCACCCCAGCGCCCUCCUCACGACACUCGGAGAAGCCUUACGGCCGCUCGGCGCUCCACCAAUGAGAACGCUCUAGGCCGCAGCGCGCGUCCGGGAUUGGCUGAUGCGGUCGACACACCCACCUCCGCUUGCCCAAGGGGCGGUGCGCGCCGCGGGGCUGCCGUCGUAAAAGGGCCCGGCGGCCUGGACGGCUGGCUGGCAGUUGCUAGCGACCGCUAGGGUGACACUCUACUGCCCCAGGGUCUCUGCAGGGCGCAGUGGGCAGGUCGGGCUCUUAUCACCCCGCGCCGAUCCCUUUGCAGUGAGAUCCUGCAAACCGGCGGCGACCGGCUUGGGAUGGAGUCACGGAGUGCAGGGGUGUGGGGGGAGGCAGUUAAAAAUAGCUAGGGGCCUCAGUCUCCAGAAGUGUGUCUGCCCACGUGCGGAAAGCACAGGUUACGUAAGUCCCGGAGCGAGCAUACUGCAGGAGCUUUGGCCUGGACGCCCGCACAGGCUCAGAGCCACGCCCCAGACAUGGCGGGAGCCCUUCUGCAGAGUUGAGCUGGAGCCAUUUGUGUGCCAUUCUGCCUUAACUGGACUUGCUCUCCAGGCCUUGGAGAAGGGGAUGUCUGGAGAAAGGUGACAAACAAGUUCCAGGAAGCCAGAUCAACAGCAAAGUGACAUGUCUCUGCCUCCAGAGCUUCCAUGAGGAAGCAGAGCCUCCUGGCUACAGCCAGCAGGAGCAGGGUCUGUGGCUGUCAAGACAUUCCCCCCAACCUGCUCAGCAUGCUGACUGGAAGUCUACCAAUAGCAACAGAGCAAGCAGGAAGCCAUCUUUUAGGGGCUCCCAGUGGCCGUACACAGGAGAAUGUGAAUAUUGAAAAAAAAAUUUAUAAUAGAUGUUGAAGCACUAACAUGAAAUUCUGUGAAUUCCUAAUCCUCGAAAGGAAGAAUACCAAGACUGUAGGAUGGGAGAGAGUGUUUUCAGGUCGUCUCUCUGCUAAAGGAUUCCUAUCUAGAAUGCACAAGGAGCUCAAGAUCCCCAAGAAAAUGACAACCUGUUAAAUAAUAAGCCGGAGCUUCUGGAUUUUUCCCAGGUCCCAGAUGACUCUGAAAGCACAGUCAUUGUGCUUUUAGACCUAGCCUGACAGUUCACACAACGCAGCAAGUACAAGUGGAUUUGGAUGUGCCCAGCAGGGGUGCCUCAUGAUGUGGGAGUGGAUAUCUUGUCUUGCAGCUGGCCAAGUCCCCAAGCACAGCUUCCUGAUGUGAGAAACAGCCUGUGCCCUGAGGAACCUGCCCACUGGCCUUUCCCUGAGGCCUCUCUCUAACAAGGAAGCCUGAUUUGUAGCCAGCUCUGCACAGUGCACAUCCCGAGGCAUCUAGCAAGUGAUGACCAUCACCAGCUUGUCCAUGUGGUCACAGUUUUCAGGUGACUAAACUAGAAGAUCGAAGUCACCAACCAAAACCAUUUGGAGAGGCUGCUGAGCCAUGGCUCCUGCUAAGAAUGGCAUGCACCUUGAAGUUUAUGAGGAGAGGCUGUGCUGUGCAGGGCAACUGUGGCUUGCUGCUGUCAUUAGUGCUGUGGGGGUCUGGCAGAUGCCUCUAAUCCAGUUCUCAGGAGGCCGAGGCAGAAAAGAAGUUCAAGGCUAGCCUGUGUUACCCAGUGAACAGCAAAACAAGAAACUAAACAACUCUCCUCCCAAACUUCCCUGAAGUCCUUGCGCAGCAGCUCGCCCAUUAAAGAAGGCAUCUAAACCCUCCCACCCGAGGAACAACCAGCAUUAACACCUUGGGUUUCAAUGACGCCACCACACCUUGAUCAUCUCAAUACUUUUCACCUGUGCAGGUCUAUUGUGACAUUUAUGAUUCUCAGCUUCUCCCAGUACGCACCAUCAGAGCACAGACUCCAUGUUCCGCUAAGAACUCAGGGCCAGCAGUCACCUCUCCAGGUUGUAGAAGGAACCAGAAGCAAACGUUGGCCGGCAGUGUCCCCUAGUGGCUCUAUCUGGCACAGUGCCCGUCUGAGAGAGCUAACAAAGGCUCUGAGAGACUAUAAAUACCAGCGGGUCUGAGCAGGCCAGCGCUCCUCUGUGGGUGUGGACUUAUCGCCCUCUAGUGGCAGAUUGUAACAUUGCUAACACACAGAACUCUGAGGCAUGGUCAAGUUCCAGAAAGAGAUCCACCAGACAAAGAAGGCCAAGAAGGCCACUUCAGACUCCCCAAAACAUCAAAGCCCCACUUAGAACUUGUAUAGCUGUGGGGUGGGAGAGAGGAGAGACAUCCCACUCCACGUCUCUUCUGUCCACAUGUGGGCUCUUGCAACCCAGAUUGAGUUCCAAUUACCAUUCCCACCGCCAGAAAGCUUCCAGGUUCCUCCUACUGAAAUAAUGAGGGAGGAAAGGGAGGGAGACAGACAGACAGACAUACAGCCAAACAGACAGACAGACAGAGACAGACAAGAAGAUAAACACAUACAGAGACACACAGUGGAGUUAACAGCUGUGCCAUUAUAGAUCUUGUUGGAUCCCUCUGUAUUCCAGAAUUCAGGACAUCCAGGAUUUUAUGAAGAUAAACAGCACAGGUAUAUGCAUCGUGUACCUGUGUUGUCUGAGGUGGAACCUUAUACUACUGUGAAUAAAACUUAUAUUAGUCUCUGCAGGAAA